AAGUCCCGGAGCCUUUUAGGGCUCUUCUUCAAACUUGCAUUUUGAUGUGCUGACACCUCGAGACUAG
rnacentral:tRNA from 1 species